UGCAGUCGAGCGGUAGCACAGAGAGCUUGCUCUCGGGUGACGAGCGGCGGACGGGUGAGUAAUGUCUGGGAAACUGCCUGAUGGAGGGGGAUAACUACUGGAAACGGUAGCUAAUACCGCAUAAUGUCGCAAGACCAAAGUGGGGGACCUUCGGGCCUCAUGCCAUCAGAUGUGCCCAGAUGGGAUUAGCUAGUAGGUGGGGUAACGGCUCACCUAGGCGACGAUCCCUAGCUGGUCUGAGAGGAUGACCAGCCACACUGGAACUGAGACACGGUCCAGACUCCUACGGGAGGCAGCAGUGGGGAAUAUUGCACAAUGGGCGCAAGCCUGAUGCAGCCAUGCCGCGUGUGUGAAGAAGGCCUUCGGGUUGUAAAGCACUUUCAGCGGGGAGGAAGGCGUUAAGGUUAAUAACCUUGUCGAUUGACGUUACCCGCAGAAGAAGCACCGGCUAACUCCGUGCCAGCAGCCGCGGUAAUACGGAGGGUGCAAGCGUUAAUCGGAAUUACUGGGCGUAAAGCGCACGCAGGCGGUCUGUCAAGUCGGAUGUGAAAUCCCCGGGCUCAACCUGGGAACUGCAUUCGAAACUGGCAGGCUAGAGUCUUGUAGAGGGGGGUAGAAUUCCAGGUGUAGCGGUGAAAUGCGUAGAGAUCUGGAGGAAUACCGGUGGCGAAGGCGGCCCCCUGGACAAAGACUGACGCUCAGGUGCGAAAGCGUGGGGAGCAAACAGGAUUAGAUACCCUGGUAGUCCACGCCGUAAACGAUGUCGAUUUGGAGGUUGUGCCCUUGAGGCGUGGCUUCCGGAGCUAACGCGUUAAAUCGACCGCCUGGGGAGUACGGCCGCAAGGUUAAAACUCAAAUGAAUUGACGGGGGCCCGCACAAGCGGUGGAGCAUGUGGUUUAAUUCGAUGCAACGCGAAGAACCUUACCUGGUCUUGACAUCCACAGAACUUUCCAGAGAUGGAUUGGUGCCUUCGGGAACUGUGAGACAGGUGCUGCAUGGCUGUCGUCAGCUCGUGUUGUGAAAUGUUGGGUUAAGUCCCGCAACGAGCGCAACCCUUAUCCUUUGUUGCCAGCGGUUAGGCCGGGAACUCAAAGGAGACUGCCAGUGAUAAACUGGAGGAAGGUGGGGAUGACGUCAAGUCAUCAUGGCCCUUACGACCAGGGCUACACACGUGCUACAAUGGCAUAUACAAAGAGAAGCGACCUCGCGAGAGCAAGCGGACCUCAUAAAGUAUGUCGUAGUCCGGAUUGGAGUCUGCAACUCGACUCCAUGAAGUCGGAAUCGCUAGUAAUCGUAGAUCAGAAUGCUACGGUGAAUACGUUCCCGGGCCUUGUACACACCGCCCGUCACACCAUGGGAGUGGGUUGCAAAAGAAGUAGGUAGCUUAACCUUCGGGAGGGCGCUUACCACU
rnacentral:rRNA from 1 species